GGGCGUGGAGCGUGGGGGCUCCGGCUGCGGGGGCGGGGGCGCCCCCAAUUGAUGCUGGGGCCCGUAGCUGGGGGAGCCACCACCACCCCCUGUAGGGGAGGGAACGGGAGGGGGGGCCGAGCUCCCUUUACGGCCUUCCUCUAAACGCUGUUUCUGAACAUUCAAAAUGAAUCCUGGUGAGGAUCCCUUCUACUUUGUUGACAUUGGAGAGCUGUAAAAAUUGUCCGAUAUUAAAAAGCCGGAGUCCCUCCCACUGCCAUCAGCAUCACUGUAGUAGCGCCUCCGUGAACCUCAGAGAAGGGGGGUGUGUACAAGACUUUCUUGCCCUGUUCCUAAAAUGAUCCAAGAGAGGAAACUUAACAACCAACAUGCAUUGUUGCAGAUAGUCCCAGCUUCUAGUCUGAUGCCGGGCAAGAAGGCUAUUAGGAAGUGCUCUUCUAACAUUUAUUGUCUCUCCAAAAGACUUCUUCCCUCGAGUCUCGAUUCCUUCAUCAAUGAAUUGGAAAUCAUAGGAUCAGAGAUUUAGGAUUGAAAUGAUCCAGCCCUCUCAAUCAAUAGGGACUUAUGAACUCACAAAGUUGUGGUGAGGUUGGGAUGACAUUGUAAGAAGAGUUUUGCAAACCUUAAAGAAAUAAAUGUCAAUUCUUUUUAUGAUGCAUCUUGUCUGGCAUUCAAACAAUCAGAAAAUUCGAAUAACUUACAUGAUGAUAGAGUACACUUUUGUGAAUGAGAAAAAUGAUAUGUGACUUCUUUCCUAAUGUAGAUUUAAUGUAGAUUCAUCUUAAUCUUUUGCGCAUUUCACAUUCGUUCAUAUUUCAGUAAUUGAUGUUCAUAAUAAAUGCUUUUAGAUUGA